AACGAACGCUGGCGGCAUGCCUAACACAUGCAAGUCGAACGAGACCUUCGGGUCUAGUGGCGCACGGGUGCGUAACGCGUGGGAACCUGCCCUUAGGUUCGGAAUAACUCCCCGAAAGGGGUGCUAAUACCGGAUAAGGUCUUCGGACCAAAGAUUUAUCGCCGUUGGAUGGGCCCGCGUUGGAUUAGCUAGUUGGUAGGGUAAAAGCCUACCAAGGCGACGAUCCAUAGCUGGUCUGAGAGGAUGAUCAGCCACACUGGGACUGAGACACGGCCCAGACUCCUACGGGAGGCAGCAGUGGGGAAUAUUGGACACUGGGCGCAAGCCUGAUCCCGCAAUGCCGCGUGAGUGAUGAAGGCCUUAGGGUUGUAAAGCUCUUUUACCCGGGAUGAUAAUGACGGUACCGGGAGAAUAAGCUCCGGCUAACUCCGUG
rnacentral:rRNA from 1 species